UACGAAGGGGGCUAGCGUUGUUCGGAAUCACUGGGCGUAAAGCGCACGUAGGCGGAUGUGCCAGUCAGGGGUGAAAUCCCGGAGCUCAACUUCGGAACUGCCUUCGAUACUGCGGGUCUCGAGUCCGGGAGAGGUGAGUGGAAUUCCUAGUGUAGAGGUGAAAUUCGUAGAUAUUAGGAAGAACACCAGUGGCGAAGGCGGCUCACUGGCCCGGUACUGACGCUGAGGCGCG
rnacentral:rRNA from 1 species